rnacentral:lncRNA from 1 species
UUAGUUACUUACGCUCAGAUGUAAGAACUCAUGUAAAGAUUUGCGUCAACUCUCUACCUACAAACCGUAGGAUGUGUUAUGUGUUUGAGAAUAAAUUGGGCUUAAAAGGUCUUCUACCCUUGCAACUUCCCUUCUCCUCCAUUUAGGCCCUAGAGUCCAUCUUGGGGGAAAUGGCACCAGCAAAGCAAGUUUUAACCCCAGUUACCAAGCUGGAUGCAUGAAAAACUACAGCCUUCCUUUCAUAUUUCAUGAAUAGAAAAGAAAACUGAAAGGAGGUAAGCCUUCUGUGCAAGAAUUUUGAAGCCUCUGUUUGAACGCAAAAUGAGAUUCCAAGAGAAAGAAAGAACCAAGUCCAGGUCCAGGGCCAUCUCGCGCAUUGCCAUCUACCUAGAGAACACCACUGAGAAAACGCCCGCCUUCUCUCUUGCAUAGACAUGAAUGAAGGAAGCAGAAAGAUGUAGAGGGAGUAUUUUCCCAAUGCUCAUAACUCCUUAACCAUGGAGAAGAGUUUUUCUUCUCUUGACAGGAAAUAAGAAGAGGAAUAAUAAGACAUAAUUCUGCCGCCACUAUCAAAGAAACAUGUGAAUAAGGACUCCAACUAAUGGAUAUAGCUUAAGACAUGAGUUUCCAAAUAUGGAUGAAAUCGAUCCUUAAAAUGAUAAAAACCAACCCAACUUAAGAUUAAUAUGUUUUCUAAAUUAAACACGGUAUAUUUCUGUUUGUGUAUUUCUGCCAACCUGAUCCUCAAAAUUUGAAAAUAUUAACACUAUCCACAGUUAUUGAAGGUGUGGAGGAAAAUGUUCUCAAAAAAUGUUGAGAGAGUAUAUCUUGGUACAGCCUUAUUUGAAGGGCAAUUGCCUAGAAUGUCUCAGAAUUUUAAUUGCGUAUGCCUUUGAGCCAGUGAUGCUACCUGUAGAGGAAUAUCCCGUGGAAAUAUUUGUAGUGUGCAAAGACAGAUGCACAAAGAUCAAAGAGAAUCUAAGUGACCACAUGUAGGAAAUGAUCAUAUGAGUUUUAGUGUACUCAGACAUGGGCAAUCUGUUAAAACCAAUGGUUCCUGUGGUGUACUACCUAGUAGUAGGAAAAAACACAAGAGAAAGUUGCAGAUGAGUACAUACCUUAUAGAAAGUAUGAACCAAAUCUAUUUUUGUACUAGAAAGAAAAAAAGAUACACUUUUGCAUCUGUGUACCUACAUACAAAGGAAUACACACCAAAGAAGAACAGUUAAUACUCCUAACAUGUGAAUAUGAUGGACUGAUUGGAAGGUGCUUUUUUUGUUGUUUUUUAAGCACAUAUACACUUUGAUUUUCAAUAUGCAUCACCAUUUGGCAUUAAGACAUACACAGAAUUUUUUAAAUGUGCUGCCAGAUGUGAAGUUUCUAAAAACACUCAGAAUCCAUGUAGUAGAAAAUAGUUGGGUAUUUGCCUGCCGCCCAUUGAAAACCCAAAUCUCAAUGGGUGGCUUGACAGCCAUAUAUAGACAUACAUAUACCUGACUCCUGUCUUGCUUAGAAGAAGUAAACCCAUCUAAAACCAAUCUGCCCCAUGUUGUCAGGCUCAAAAGCUUAUUCAUUCUAAAAUAACCCUGAAAAGAAAAUACUUCAGCUCAAAUCACAGUUUGGAAAUGCUUUGCAUGUAGAAAACAAUUGUAAAACUAAGUGACUUUUUCUCUAUAAAAUUUCAGGAAUAUAAUAUUUCUAUGAAUGUUACUGCAGAUUAUCUGGUGUCAUGAAUGAUAUAAUAAUAAGGCUGCUUAUCUGACAAAUCUGCCAAAUGCAAACAGAGCUUUUAAUAAGAGUAUUCAUCAAGUGUGGGGAGAUAGGUCAAUUCUAAAAAUGUCACCAUAAUCAAAAAACAUUAGGAAGUACAAAAACUAAGUAUAAUAUAAAAAUUUAAUGCCUAUGUAGAGUAAUUCAAGUCUUUGCAUUAACUCCUCUUUGUAUCAUUAUGUAUUCAUUUAUUUUCAACAUUUUGUUAUACACCAUAAAUAAAAGUUUGUUUCUUUCACUUCUCCAUGCCUGUUUUCCCAUAAAUCACCUUCUACUGAUAGUCGUAGAUUAUUCAGGAAGAACAAGAUAAUGGAGUCUUGUUUUCGAGUGUUUUUCUUUAUUCUAAACAUUCCAUCUGUCUAACUAUAUUUAUGGUAUGUAAAACACCUGCUUUUAUUUCCAAGGGACAAAUAUAGUUCUAAAGUCACAGCUGGUGAUAGUCUGAGAGGGUGUUCAGAUACUAUUUCUCAAGCAGGACAGAUGGCUAUCAAAAGAAACUUUGUAAUUUUAUUUUUUAUCCCCAUCAAGAAAUUUGGACAAACUCACAGAACUAGAACUGGGAAUACUUCAACAUGAACAGUACAGGACUACAUGUGAGGAAUAAUCAUAGGCAUGUGACAAUGGAAGAGAUCAAACACUAGGAUUCCUAAUCUCAUAAGAAUAAUGGCAAUAGCGUCAAUACUUAGGACUAAAUGGUGGAUGAGCAAUGAUUUCCAAGAGCCAUAUGAACUAAACAGUUAGAUGUAACUAGCUUUGGCCAGGUCUCCUUCAGAACAAGCAAUGGCAGAGAACACUCCCUCCAGUCUGAAAAUGAAGGUAGGCAUGAAACAGGUAAGUUUAGAUUGAUUUGUACUAGGAUGAGAUGUCCAGACCAAUAGAUGUUUUGGGAUCAAAGGUAGGGCUACCAAAAAAAAAAGAUAUUGACAAACUGUUGGAGACAGUGAUAUGGACAAUUCCUUAUGUAAAGGGCAAAGUUAACUCUAAAAGUAAGACUUCACCUGUUGUGUAAUCAACUUGGGUAAAAUCACCCUGGAAGGUGAAAAAAAUUCUGAUGACCCACACCAUAAAUUUGUUGGUAAACCAGAUCUUUCAACCUUGGGCAAUCUAAAAUGCUUCUUCUUUGUCUCCAGGCUGCGUGAGUUUACUGAAACACUCCACACAUGUACAAUUAGUAAAACUGAUAAAAAUGUACAAGAAAGAGAGCUCUAAAAAUGAAUGAGAGAGAAUAAGAAUAUAGAUAAUGAAGAGACAUCAUGAAGUUACAGGUAUUAGCACUUUUGACCUCCUUAGCCUGAGUGAACCAAUCUAAUUAUAACAAUUGUAACAUUACCUGUGCUUGUUUUGUCUGCUUUGUAUGGCGCUUAAAG